ensembl:lncRNA
UGAAGCGACGGGAACACUUUUUGUAAGCGAAGAAAACAAAAAUAAUGACUUUAUUCAAUAAUUCCUUCGUCAACGGUCUCCUCUGUGUCUCUCCAUAUCACCGUAUGCUGUGUAUGCUCUUUGUUUGCUCUCUGUUUUAUUUCAAAUAAAAACGAAAUACAUGUAGAAACAACUCAUCCUUGUGGCGCGGAUCACACAAAAGUGCAUACACAGCAUAUGGUGAUAAUGAGAGACACAGAGGAGACAGUUGACAAAGGAAUUACUGAAUAAAGUCAUUAUUUUUGUUUUCUUCGCUAACAAAAAGUGUUCCCGUUGCUUCAUAUAACCCAGAUUGCACGUCUGAUGGCAGAUGGAGUAUUGUGACGACGACUUUCAUACCUUUUAUGGACCUUGACACUGCUAUUUACUUGGCAGUCUAUGGGACAAUCCCAGGCCUCCUGCUUUUCAUCCAAAAUAUCUUAAAUUGUGUUCCAAAGAUGAACAGAGCUUUUACAGGUUUGGAACGACAUGGGGGUAAGUUAUUAAUGACUAAAUUUUCAUUUUGGGGUGCAGUAUCAAUUAAAAAAAUUAGCAAAAUAAAAAGAUUCAAUUUAAAUGGGUUAGUUUUAGGUGGUAUAGCAGCCAUUUCACUCUAAAAGUGUAUAAGGACUUCUCUCUGACCUGGUUAAAGGCACAAUAUGUAAUUUUAUGCCACUAGAGGGUGCGUAUUCAAAACAAACAAACAAAGAAAGAAAGAAAGCAAAACAAACAAAGAAACAAAGGCAUAGUUAGAUGACACCGUGACUGGGUGUGGAAUCAUAGGAGUUGCCGUAAUCGCUGUGUGAACGUUCUGUUAUAAUGCUACUCUGUGCGGUCGUCACCGGUCUAAUAAAAUGCACAGCAUAUUAAAGCGUCUUUGGUGUUUCCAUGUUUCCUACAAAACAAAACCAGAAAUCGAGGGUGUAUGACGUCAUUGGCAGGCGACACAAUGACACUAUGGACACGGCCCAUGUCACUAGUUAAAAUUGCUUAUUUCUCUUUAUUUAAACAAUCUUCGAAACGUUUGGGAUAAUGUAAGUACACAAGUCAGCAAAAUAUAUAUAUUGUGCCUUUAAAUAAAGUGCGAUGUCUUGUUGUUAGCAGAUUCACUGAACAGCCACACAGUAAAGAUAAACGCUUGCUUUCACUAGUGUAAAAUUGGAACCAAAUUUUGGAUUUUUUAAAUGAUGUUACUAUUGCAACAUAAAUAUUAGUUUAUGCCACUAGUCUUCUGUAGAUAAUCAUUUACUAAAUAGUACUGGCAUAAUAACAAGAAGUGUUCUUUCAAAUAAUGACCAUCAUUUAUGUCAGUGAUACUCCUGUUUGUUUAUUUGCGUUUUGGUAAGGCAGAUUUUUUGGGCAAUUUCUUUGUGGAGUACUGAUAUCCUGAGCAUGUUAAAUCACAUCUGAAAUAUAAUCCUUUAUGGUAACUUUGU